UACGUAGGGGGCUAGCGUUGUCCGGAAUCAUUGGGCGUAAAGAGCGUGUAGGCGGCCCGGUAAGUCCGCUGUGAAAGUCGGGGGCUCAACCCUCGAAUGCCGGUGGAUACUGUCGGGCUAGAGUGCGGAAGAGGCGAGUGGAAUUCCUGGUGUAGCGGUGAAAUGCGCAGAUAUCAGGAGGAACACCGAUGGCGAAGGCAGGUCUGCUGGGCCACUACUGACGCUGAGAAGCGAAAGCAUGGGGAGCGAACAGG
rnacentral:rRNA from 1 species